rnacentral:rRNA from 1 species
GUUGAAGUUCAGGUAACACUGAAUGGAGGACCGAACCGACUUACGUUGAAAAGUGAGCGGAUGAACUGAGGGUAGCGGAGAAAUUCCAAUCGAACUUGGAGAUAGCUGGUUCUCUCCGAAAUAGCUUUAGGGCUAGCCUCAAGUGAUGAUUAUUGGAGGUAGAGCACUGUUUGGACGAGGGGCCCCUCUCGGGUUACCGAAUUCAGACAAACUCCGAAUGCCAAAUAAUUUAACUUGGGAGUCAGAAUGUGGGUGAUAAGGUCCAUAUUCGAAAGGGAAACAGCCCAGACCACCAGCUAAGGUCCCAAAAUAUAUGUUAAGUGGAAAAGGAUGUGGCGUUGCCCAGACAACUAGGAUGUUGGCUUAGAAGCAGCCAUCAUUUAAAGAGUGCGUAAUAGCUCACUAGUCGAGUGACACUGCGCCGAAAAUGUACCGGGGCUAAACAUAUUACCGAAGCUGUGGAUUGUCCUUUGGACAAUGGUAGGAGAGCGUUCUAAGGGCGUUGAAGCAUGAUCGCAAGGACAUGUGGAGCGCUUAGAAGUGAGAAUGCCGGUGUGAGUAGCGAAAGACGGGUGAGAAUCCCGUCCACCGAUUGACUAAGGUUUCCAGAGGAAGGCUCGUCCGCUCUGGGUUAGUCGGGUCCUAAGCUGAGGCCGACAGGCGUAGGCGAUGGAUAACAGGUUGAUAUUCCUGUACCACCAUUA